rnacentral:tRNA from 1 species
GGGGGUGUAGCUUAGUGGCUGAGCAUGUGUCUAGUAUAUGCAAGGCCUUAGGUUCAAUCCUUAGCACCACAG